rnacentral:lncRNA from 1 species
GUCCCAGCUACUUGGGAGCCUGAGGCAGGAGAAUGGCAUGAACCCGGGAGGCGGAGCUUGAAGUGAGCCCAGAUAGCGCCACUGCACUCCAGCCUGGGCGAAAGAGGGAGACUCCGUCUCAAAACAAAAAAAAAAAAAAAAAGAAAAAAAAUUAAAUAUUUUUUAUGGUUCCUUUUAAAUUCCUUUAUUGACUUAUCAGCUGUAAGUUUUUGUUGUCAUUUUAGUGGUUGUUUUAGGUUGAUAGUAUGUUUCUUUAAUUGUAGUCUACCUUCAACUGAUAUUAUACUACUUCAUGUUUAUGUAGUGCUGAAUCUUACACAUGUAAUUUAAUUCACUGCCCACAAAGUCCAUGUUAGCCAGGUAUUAAUGUCCUCAUUUUAGGAAUGAAGGAAUCAAAACUUAGAAGAAUUGUAUAAUUUCCCAAGAUCAAUCCAUUAUUUUGGCAUAUUAGAGAAUGAAACACUGUUACCAUUUUUGACCUUGAUAGGUUUAUAGGCUAACAAAGAAGAAAAUGGCUAUGUGUGGCAUCUUAGCUAAGGAGACAUGGCUUUAAAACUCCACAUCUGUUUCAUAAAUCCCAAAUAUUCAGGGACUGAGUUAAUGAAAUAUACUUUUUAUCUACUUUUAAAAUUAUAAGUUCUUAACUACAGAUAUUGGGCUAGAUAUGAAUUCACUUAAAAAACUGAAGAAUGGAAUCCGUACUGCCUGUUGUGUCCUUCUCCUCCCAGAAGCUCUAAUUCUUAAAUUUCUUUUUCUGUUUUAGUGCUUCCUCAUCUAAGAGUCAAUUUUCUUCGCUAUUCUGAAGCUUCAAUCUGACUGUGAUAUGAAACAUAUUUCCUCUAGAGAAUACCAGGAAGCUCCCAUAAGUAGCCAGAAAACAGCUGUGUCUGGACAGAGGAUAAGGCAUCUUUAGAGUUAAGAAAAGGGAGCUACCCCCGUAAAACAACACUUUGGACACUAGGCAUUUGUAUCAGGUAAG